AACACAUGCAAGUCGAACGGCAGCACGGGGGCAACCCUGGUGGCGAGUGGCGAACGGGUGAGUAAUGCAUCGGAACGUGCCCAUCGAUGGGGGAUAACUGCGCGAAAGCGUUGCUAAUACCGCAUACGACCUACGGGUGAAAGCAGGGGACCGCAAGGCCUUGCGUCGAUGGAGCGGCCGAUGCCGGAUUAGCUAGUUGGUGAGGUAAAGGCUCACCAAGGCGACGAUCCGUAGCUGGUCUGAGAGGACGACCCAGCCACACUGGGACUGAGACACGGCCCAGACUCCUACGGGAGGCAGCAGUGGGGAAUCUUGGACAAUGGGCGAAAGCCUGAUCCAGCAAUGCCGCAUGUGGGAAGAAGGCCUUCGGGUUGUAAACCACUUUUGGCGGGAAAGAAAUGGUCUGUGCUAAUACCACGGAUUGAUGACGGUACCCGCAGAAUAAGCACCGGCUAACUACGUG
rnacentral:rRNA from 1 species